rnacentral:rRNA from 1 species
GAUGAACGCUGGCGGCGUGCCUAAUACAUGCAGGUCGAGCGAACAGACGAGAGUGCUUGCACUCUCUGACGUUAGCGGCGGACGGGUGAGUAACACGUGGGUAACCUACCUAUAAGACUGGGAUAACUUCGGGAAACCGGAGCUAAUACCGGAUAAUAUUUAGCUUCGCAUGAAGCAAUAGUGAAAGACGGUUCUGCUGUCACUUAUAGAUGGACCCGCGGUGUAUUAGCUAGUUGGUGAGGUAACGGCUCACCAAGGCAACGAUACAUAGCCGACCUGAGAGGGUGAUCGGCCACACUGGGACUGAGACACGGCCCAGACUCCUACGGGAGGCAGCAGUAGGGAAUCUUCCGCAAUGGACGAAAGUCUGACGGAGCAAUGCCGCGUGAGUGAAGAAGGUUUUCGGAUCGUAAAACUCUGUUGUAAGGGAAGAACAAGCACGUUAGUAACUGAACGUACCUUGACGGUACCUUACCAGAAAGCCACGGCUAACUACGUG